rnacentral:rRNA from 1 species
GCGCGAAAACUUUGCAAUACACGAAAGUGUGACAGGGUCAUCCCGAGUGCCGACCGCUGAGGUUGGCUUUUACCCAGUUUAGAAAGCUGGGGGAAUAAGGAGAGGGCAAGUCUGGUGUCAGCCGCCGCGGUAAUACCAGCUCUCCGAGUGGUGUGGACGUUUAUUGGGCCUAAAGCAUCCGUAGCUGGCUGAACAAGUCCCCUGUUAAACCCACCGAUUUAAUCGUUGGUCUGCGGGGGAUACUGCUCGGCUAGGGGACGAGAGAGGCAGGCGGUAUUCUCGGGGUAGGGGUGAAAUCCUAUAAUCCCGGGAAGACCACCAGUGGCGAAGGCUGCCUGCUAGAGCGCGCCCGACGGUGAGGGAUGAAAGCUGGGGGAGCGAACCGGAUUAGAUACCCGGGUAGUCCCAGCUGUAAACGAUGCAGACUAGGUGUUUGGACGGCCACGUGCCGUUCUAGUGCCGCAGGGAAGCUGUUAAGUCUGCCGCCUGGGGAGUACGAUCGCAAGAUUGAAACUUAAAGGAAUUGGCGGGGGAGCAC